rnacentral:piRNA from 1 species
UAUUUACCAAUUUUUGAAGACACAAUGUAUU